GAUGAACGCUGGCGGCGUGCCUAAUACAUGCAAGUCGAGCGAACGGACGAGAAGCUUGCUUCUCUGAUGUUAGCGGCGGGCGGGUGAGUAACACGUGGAUAACCUACUUAUAAGACUGGGAUAACUUCGGGAAACCGGAGCUAAUACCGGAUAAUAUUUUGAACCGCAGGGGGCAAAGGAGAAAGACGGUCUUGCGGUCACUUAUAGAUGGAUCCCCGCUGCAUUGGCUAGUUGGUAAGGUAACGGCUUACCAAGGCAACGAUGCGUAGCCGACCUGAGAGGGUGAUCGGCCACACUGGAACUGAGACACGGUCCAGACUCCUACGGGAGGCAGCAGUAGGGAAUCUUCCGCAAUGGGCGAAAGCCUGACGGAGCAACGCCGCGUGAGUGAUGAAGGUCUUCGGAUCGUAAAACUCUGUUAUUAGGGAAGAACAUAUGUGUAAGUAACUGUGCACAUCUUGACGGUAACUAAUCAGAAAGCCACGGCUAACUACGUG
rnacentral:rRNA from 1 species